UACGUAGGGUGCGAGCGUUUGUUCGGAAUUACUGGGCGUAAAGGGUCUGUAGGUGGCCAACUAAGUCGGACGUGAAAUCCCCAGGCUCAACCUGGGAACUGCGUCUGAUACUGGAUGGCUUGAAUCCGGGAGAGGGAUGCAGAAUUCCAGGUGUAGCGGUGAAAUGCGUAGAUAUCUGGAGGAACACCGGUGGCGAAGGCGGGUCUCUGGGCCGAUGACUGACGCUGAGGAGCGGAAAGCGUGGGGAGCGAACAGG
rnacentral:rRNA from 1 species